ACUCCUACGGGAGGCAGCAGUGGGGAAUUGUUCGCAAUGGGCGCAAGCCUGACGACGCAACGCCGCGUGGAGGAUGAAGAUCUUCGGGUCGUAAACUCCUGUCGAGUGGGAAGAACAGCUAUGGGGCGAAUAGCCCCGGAGCCUGACGGUACCACUAAAGGAAGCCCCGGCUAACUCCGUGCCAGCAGCCGCGGUAAU
rnacentral:rRNA from 1 species